UAACACUUAAGAGUCAAAGCAGCAAUGCGCUUGGAGAGGAGUUCGCGGCCGAUUAGUUAGUUGGCGGGGUAAUGGCCCACCAAGACGAUGAUCGGUAUCCGGCCUGAGAGGGCGCACGGACACACUGGAACUGAGACACGGUCCAGACUCCUACGGGAGGCAGCAGUGGGGAAUUUUGCGCAAUGUGGGAAACCCUGACGCAGCAACGCCGCGUGGAGGAUGAAAUCCCUUGGGAUGUAAACUCCUUUCGAUCGGGACGAU
rnacentral:rRNA from 1 species